rnacentral:rRNA from 1 species
CACGUAGGGCGCAAGCGUUGUCCGGAAUUAUUGGGCGUAAAGAGCUCGUAGGCGGUCUGUUACGUCUGCUGUGAAAACCCGGGGCUUAACCCUGGGCUUGCAGUGGAUACGGGCAGACUAGAGGCAGGUAGGGGAGAAUGGAAUUCCCGGUAUAGCGGUGAAAUGCGCAGAUAUCGGGAGGAACACCGGUGGCGAAGGCGGUUCUCUGGGCCUGACCUGACGCUGAGGAGCGAAAGCGUGGGGAGCGAACAGG